GGGGUGACUGCGUACCUUUUGUAUAAUGGGUCAGCGACUUAUAUUCUGUAGCAAGGUUAACCGCAUAGGGGAGCCGAAGGGAAACCGAGUCUUAAUUGGGCGUUAAGUUGCAGGGUAUAGACCCGAAACCCGGUGAUCUAGCCAUGGGCAGGUUGAAGGUUGGGUAACACUAACUGGAGGACCGAACCGACUAAUGUUGAAAAAUUAGCGGAUGACCUGUGGCUGGGGGUGAAAGGCCAAUCAAACCGGGAGAUAGCUGGUUCUCCCCGAAAGCUAUUUAGGUAGCGCCUCGUGAAUUCAUCUCCGGGGGUAGAGCACUGUUUCGGCUAGGGGGCCAUCCCGGCUUACCAACCCGAUGCAAACUGCGAAUACCGGAGAAUGUUAUCACGGGAGACACACGGCGGGUGCUAACGUCCGUCGUGAAGAGGGAAACAACCCAGACCGCCAGCUAAGGUCCCAAAGUCAUGGUUAAGUGGGAAACGAUGUGGGAAGGCCCAGACAGCCAGGAUGUUGGCUUAGAAGCAGCCAUCAUUUAAAGAAAGCGUAAUAGCUCACUGGUCGAGUCGGCCUGCGCGGAAGAUGUAACGGGGCUAAACCAUGCACCGAAGCUGCGGCAGCGACACUGUGUGUUGUUGGGUAGGGGAGCGUUCUGUAAGCCGUUGAAGGUGUGUCGUGAGGCAUGCUGGAGGUAUCAGAAGUGCGAAUGCUGACAUAAGUAACGAUAAAGCGGGUGAAAAGCCCGCUCGCCGGAAGACCAAGGGUUCCUGUCCAACGUUAAUCGGGGCAGGGUGAGUCGACCCCUAAGGCGAGGCCGAAAGGCGUAGUCGAUGGGAAACGGGUUAAUAUUCCCGUACUUGGUGUUACUGCGAAGGGGGGACGGAGAAGGCUAUGUUGGCCGGGCGACGGUAGUCCCGGUUUAAGCGUGUAGGUGUGUGUUCCAGGUAAAUCCGGUUCACUUUAACACUGAGGCGUGAUGACGAGGCACCACGGUGCUGAAGCAACAAAUGCCCUGCUUCCAGGAAAAGCCUCUAAGCAUCAGGUAACAUCAAAUCGUACCCCAAACCGACACAGGUGGUCAGGUAGAGAAUACCAAGGCGCUUGAGAGAACUCGGGUGAAGGAACUAGGCAAAAUGGUGCCGUAACUUCGGGAGAAGGCACGCUGACACGUAGGUGAAGUGAUUUACUCAUGGAGCUGAAGUCAGUCGAAGAUACCAGCUGGCUGCAACUGUUUAUUAAAAACACAGCACUGUGCAAACACGAAAGUGGACGUAUACGGUGUGACGCCUGCCCGGUGCCGGAAGGUUAAUUGAUGGGGUCAGCGCAAGCGAAGCUCCUGAUCGAAGCCCCGGUAAACGGCGGCCGUAACUAUAACGGUCCUAAGGUAGCGAAAUUCCUUGUCGGGUAAGUUCCGACCUGCACGAAUGGCGUAAUGAUGGCCAGGCUGUCUCCACCCGAGACUCAGUGAAAUUGAACUCGCUGUGAAGAUGCAGUGUACCCGCGGCAAGACGGAAAGACCCCGUGAACCUUUACUAUAGCUUGACACUGAACAUUGAGCCUUGAUGUGUAGGAUAGGUGGGAGGCUUUGAAGCGUGGACGCCAGUCUGCGUGGAGCCGACCUUGAAAUACCACCCUUUAAUGUUUGAUGUUCUAACGUGGACCCGUAAUCCGGGUUGCGGACAGUGUCUGGUGGGUAGUUUGACUGGGGCGGUCUCCUCCUAAAGAGUAACGGAGGAGCACGAAGGUUGGCUAAUCCUGGUCGGACAUCAGGAGGUUAGUGCAAUGGCAUAAGCCAGCUUGACUGCGAGCGUGACGGCGCGAGCAGGUGCGAAAGCAGGUCAUAGUGAUCCGGUGGUUCUGAAUGGAAGGGCCAUCGCUCAACGGAUAAAAGGUACUCCGGGGAUAACAGGCUGAUACCGCCCAAGAGUUCAUAUCGACGGCGGUGUUUGGCACCUCGAUGUCGGCUCAUCACAUCCUGGGGCUGAAGUAGGUCCCAAGGGUAUGGCUGUUCGCCAUUUAAAGUGGUACGCGAGCUGGGUUUAGAACGUCGUGAGACAGUUCGGUCCCUAUCUGCCGUGGGCGCUGGAAGACUGAGGGGGGCUGCUCCUAGUACGAGAGGACCGGAGUGGACGCAUCACUGGUGUUCGGGUUGUCAUGCCAAUGGCACUGCCCGGUAGCUAAAUGCGGAAAAGAUAAGUGCUGAAAGCAUCUAAGCACGAAACUUGCCCCGAGAUGAGUCUUCCCUGAGACCUUGAGUCUCCUGAAGGAACGUUAAAGACGAUGACGUUGAUAGGCCGGGUGUGUAAGCGCAGCGAUGCGUUGAGCUAACCGGUACUAAUGAACCGUGAGGCUUAACCUU
rnacentral:rRNA from 1 species